rnacentral:tRNA from 1 species
GCCUGGGUGGCUCAGUCAGUUAAGCGUCUGACUUCGGCUCAGGUCAUGAUCUCGCGGUCUGUGGGUUCGAGCCCCGUGUCGGGCU